AUUGCUGCAUGUGUCACCAAGGACAUUUUUAAUGCAAGUCCUGAUAUUUUGACAGGGACUGCAGAGAAGAAGACUGGUGAGGACUCAGGAUCUACUUUCCAUAUGUCAUCACCAGCAAAAAUAGAGGCCUAAAGGAAGCCACUGACAACUCUGGGGUGCAGUGUCGGGAACUGGAAGAGCAUCAGCUUCAAUAGGAGCAUCAGAUGUAUUACUAUUACAUGAGUUCCUACAAGGAUAAGAAAAGAGAACUAAGAGAGAAGUCCCAAAAACUGAAAGACCUCCUGUCAUCAUCUUCUGAGACCAGGGCUACAGUAAAAGAGCUGGAAGAGCAUGUGCAGUGGUGAGAGCCUGACACAGAGAACCAAGGUGUCUGUCACUGUCUGGGGUUGUGUGAAAAUUUGUUGUC